rnacentral:rRNA from 1 species
UACAGAGACUGCAAGCGUUAUUCGGAUUCACUGGGCGUAAAGGGUGCGCAGGCGGCCAAGUGUGUGAGGCGUGAAAGCCCGGAGCUUAACUCCGGAAUUGCACCUCAAACUACAUGGCUAGAGCAUUGGAGAGGGUAGCAGAAUUCACGGUGUAGCAGUGAAGUGCGUAGAUAUCGUGAGGAAUACCAGUGGCGAAGGCGAGUCUCUGGACAGCAACUGACGCUGAGGCACGAAGGCCAGGGGAGCAAACGGG